GAUUCCCCUAGUAACUGCGAGUGAAGCGGGAAGAGCUCAAAUUUGAAAUCUGGCGGCUCUUUGCUGUCCGAGUUGUAAUCUAGAGAAGUGUUACCUGUGCUGGACCGUGUAAAAGUCUCCUGGAAUGGAGCAUCAUAGAGGGUGAGAAUCCCGUCUUUGACAUGGACUACCUGUACAUUAUGGUGCGCUCUCAAAGAGUCGAGUUGUUUGGGAAUGCAGCUCAAAAUGGGUGGUAAAUGCCAUCUAAAGCUAAAUAUUGGCGAGAGACCGAUAGCGAACAAGUACCGUGAGGGAAAGAUGAAAAGAACUUUGGAAAGAGAGUUAAACAGUACGUGAAAUUGCUGAAAGGGAAACGCUUGAAGUCAGUCUCGUUGGCUGGAAAUCAGCCUUGCUUUUGCUUGGUGUACUUUCUGGUUGACGGGUCAGCAUCAAUUUUGACCACUGGAUAAAGUCUUUGGGAAUGUGACAUCUUUGGAUGUGUUAUAGCCCUGGGUCGCAUACAGUGAUUGGGAUUGAGGAACUCAGCACGCCGCAAGGCCGGGUUUCGACCACGUUCGUGCUUAGGAUGCUGGCAUAAUGGCUUUAAUCGACCCGUCUUGAAACACGGACCAAGGAGUCUAACAUGCCUGCGAGUGUUUGGGUGGAAAACCCAUGCGCGUAAUGAAAGUGAAAGUUGAGAUCCCUUCAGGGAGCAUUGACGCCCGGACCAGACCUUCUGUGACGGAUCCGCGGUAGAGCAUGUAUGUUGGGACCCGAAAGAUGGUGAACUAUGCCUGAAUAGGGUGAAGCCAGAGGAAACUCUGGUGGAGGCUCGUAGCGAUUCUGACGUGCAAAUCGAUCGUCAAAUUUGGGUAUAGGGGCGAAAGACUAAUCGAACCAUCUAGUAGCUGGUUCCUGCCGA
rnacentral:rRNA from 1 species